UCUAAUAUGGCAGAUUAGUGCAAUG
rnacentral:tRNA from 1 species